CAUUUUCUGGAGGCCUCGGUGAGAUCAGACUACCUACCCAAAUUGUAAAGCCAGACCUUUACUUUGGGGCCCAGUGGCUGAAGGGCCACCUCAGGAGGUACACGCCUUGAGACAUUCCAAGGUUCCGAGGUGUGCUUUUGGCUUUGCAGACUAUCGGAGUGAACUGCCAUGCUGAGAAAGGCUGCAAGCAUCUAUUGAGGCCUUUCUUGGAAACUCUGGAUCACUGUUAUGAGCCCUGAUGUUCCAGCUCAUUCUCCAUCUUUUCCAUUCUACAUCCCUGAGUGGGAACUGUCUACAGACCAUGAUGCCAUGUGCGGGCAGCUCUGAUGGGAAGGAGUCGACACCAUUAUGCAGGACGCUCUAGUCAGCAAAUCACAGAAAAGAAAGAGGGUGUCGUUGGAAACCUGUAGGGAUUUUCAUAUUCCCCAAGUGACAGCAAAUGACCUCUCCGUGUCUACACUCUAUCCGGGACUCCCUCCUAUUGGCAGGAGAGCCACAAAAGAACGAUGUGAAGUUGGAGCAGAUGGUGCAUCCGUCCGUUGCUGAACUCUGCUCGCAGCCCAAAGGAGGACUUGAUACUGAAGGUGCUGUAAUGGCUUUCUGCUCAGCUUGUUGUAAAUCCUAAAUGGGGUGAUUGAGGGCUGGAACGAUCGGUGUUGUUGGGCGCCUCUGGCUGCAGCAUCUGGUGAAUGCCUUCACUUGCUGACAGCUGUUAGUCUUGGCCUUAUGGUGUGCUCCCCAGACCUUUGGUUUUAAGUAGGUUGUAGAUUAGGCUAGAAGCAAGUAUCACUAGUUCAUGUAUCAAUAAGAAGAAAAAAAAAUACCCCCGUAACUUUGUUUUCAGGAUUAACAAUACAUUUGGUAAAAACAGAGCCUUGUGUGUGCUAUUAUGGAAGUACUUGAAAGCCAGAUUUUUAUUACAGGUUUUUAGUUUAGGAAUUUAAAUUGAUAUUCCUGAGCCUUGUGUAGCCUCUCUCAGAGACAAAUCCAAAGUGCUAACAGCACCAGGGAAAUCUUGAAAAAUUGGCCUCCUCUCUUGAAUCAGUGAGGCCAACACAGGAGACAGAGGCAGUCUGCUUUCUGGGAUACGGGCUCAUGGGAGAAAAGUGUGGCCCUCUGCACUGAAAGCUCCGUUAGCCAAUAAUUUAAAAGCACCACAAUUUAAGAACUAAGAAUAAUAGAAAUAAGAUGUCUAGAGUAAAUGUUCCUGUCCUUAAGGUUACAAUGAGGUCCUCUCAGAUUAGUCUUGGGGUAAUUAAUACGUUUAAAAUAAGAAUAAAAAUAAGACUCUGAAAAAUUAUCAAAAGUUAAAAGUUUUAAAAAUAUU